AGUCUAAGGUUGCUCCCACCAGACUAGGAGGACUGGAGAGUAGGGUUGGGGUCAAAGGGUAGCCUCCUGCAGGUCGCCUCCUCCUGUGGCUUUCCCGGACGUCGCGCUGGGACUUCCUGCCGACACCGCACUUCUUCCCAGACUCCCACCUGCGCCGCUGGGGGCUUGGGUCCAGUCUUGCUCUGCCACCCAACCCUGGAGUGCAAUGGCGCAAUCUUGGCUCACUGCAACCUCUGCUUCCCAAGUUGAAGUGAUUCUCCUACCUCAGCCUCCCGAGUAGCUGGGAUUACAGGCAUGUGCCACCACACCUGGCUGAUCUUUCUUUUAGUAGAGAUGGGGUUUCACCAUGUUGUCCAGGCUGGUCUCGAACUCCUGACUUCGUGAUCCACCCACCUUGGCCUCCCAAAGUGCUGGGAUUACAGGUAUGAGCCACCACGCCUGGCCUGCAAUUCUAUAUAUAUUUUCAUCCAUUUGAAAUUUUUUGUUUUAACGUAUCUGUCAUAAGUUAUAGGGGCAAUUCUGAAACUGCCCCUAUAAACUUUAUAAAAUUAAUCAGGAAAGAAGAGAGAGGGAUAAAUGAAAAACCAAGCUUAUAGCACAUUCAACAUUAAUGAAGUUUAAUCUCUGACCUACUUCUUCAUAGUUCACUGGUGCCUAUUGUCCUAGAAUCAUGUAGACCCUGUGUAUUAGUCUGUUCUCAUGCUGCUAAUAAGGACAUACUACCUGAGACUAGGUAACUAAUAAAGGAAAGAGGUUUAAUGAACUCACAGACCCUCAUGGCUGGAGAGGCCUCACAAUCAUGGCCCAAGACGAAGAGCAAAGGGAUAUCUUACAUGGUGACAAGCAAGACAGCGUGUGCAGGGGAACUGCCCUUUUAUAAAAUCAUACGUUCGUGAGACUUAUUCACUACCAUGAGAACAGCACAGAAAAACCCACCCCCGUGAUUCAGUUACCUCCCACUGGGUCCUUCCCAUGACAGGUGGGGAUUCUUACAAUUCAAGGUGAGAUUUGGGUAGGAACACAGGCAAACCAUAUCACCCUGUUACAAGAUUAACUACUCUAUUGAUAACUUGACCAUUAUAAAACAUUAAGUUUUUCCUUUGAGAUACUCUUUCACACUUUUUACAUGCUGAUAUACCUACCAUUUCAGGUGGUCUGAAGGACCCCAUUGACUCAGCUGGUCUGAGGGGCACCACGAGCUGACUUACCAAAGAAUCUAGUUUCCACAUCCUGAUGACUUUAUCCUGCUUGCUCUGACCAUCAACAACCCUAAUUCUCCAGUCCUUCACCCUCCCUGAUCCCCUUUAAAACUCCAGCCUGGAACUUCUUGGGGAUAUAGAUGUCUCCUCCUAUCUCCUUACUUGGCGCCCUGUGGUAAUUAAACUCUCUGCUUAAUCCGUGUCUGUGUAAUUGGUCUGCUACUACACAGCAGACAUAUGAACCUGUUGGUUCUAUAACAAUUCUAAAGUCCUUGUCUGCUAAUUCCAACUUCUCAUAUCAUCUAUGGGUCUAUUUUUGUUGGACCUUUUUCUCCUGAUGAUUGGUAACAUUGACCUGCUGCUCUGCACAUCAUGUGAUGUUUUAAGUUGGAUGUGGAUAUUAUGCUUAAAAGAACAGCAGAAAUUGAAAAAUAUUUUCAUCUGGAAGUCACUCCAUUUCCUCUGCCAAGCAGUUUAGGUGAGAAUCUCCUCAACUUUGAUCCAAUCAGAGGUUGGGAUGUAAAAAUUAGUUUUGGUUCACUUCGGGUUUCAAACAUCUUGAGUAAGAUCUUUCCUAUGACUAUUUCAGACCACUCCCUCUAACAGGACUGUGGAAUCUAAGCACUACAAUAGGGAUAUCCAUUUUUUCCUGGUUAGUGCCCAGCACCAGCUGUUGCUACACACUCAGCAAAUCAUUAUAGGGAUACGCAGCACUGGUAAAGAGAGUCUAUUUUAUAUUAUAGUGUCACACUAGCCUUGUGACCAUUAAUGCCCCCUGGUCUCUCCAUAUUCCAGUAAAGUUCCUCUGCCUGUGGCAGGCCUGGCUCUCCGCCAAUCUGCUCCUAGACCAGGAAAAUGCCUUCAGGGAAGAAACCAGCCACUGAUUUCUGCUCUUCUAGGAGGAGCUCAUCCUCUGGCAUUUAAUUCUUUCACUCCUUUUUUUGUCCACAGAUUUCCAGGGUCUUUGAAGAUGUUAGUUCACUGUUUAUUCAUGUGGGUUCCUGUAAAUGUCUGCAGCCAAUCUGGAAGUGGAGCUGUAUUUGGAACUUUUUGAAUCUAAAUCAGUUUGGGAGAAGUGAGUCUUUUCAGAAUUUGACCUUUCAAUGAAUGUCUCAAAUUUGUUUACGUCAUCUUUAAUGUUUUCAAUACUGUCUUCAAAACAAUUUGGUAAGUUUAAAAUUUAUUCUUCCACAAUUUUGGUAAGUUUAAAAUUUAUUCUUCCAUAUGUUAUACCAUUGUUGCUCUUAUAAAUGGUAUUGACUUUUAAAUUUUAUUAUUUCUAUUCCUGAGUAUAAGUUGCAAGUUUAUCUUUAUUAAGAUAGUAAACAUUUUCAUUAAUUUAAAUAUAGAUCCUUUGAAAUUUUCCAUUUAGGUAAUCAUAUUAUAAAUAAUGACAGAUUUACUUCUACCUUUCUGGUCCUUAGGUUUUUAAAUAUCUUUUCCUAGCCUGCCUCACUUAAGAUUCCAGUAAAAUACUAAGUAGUGGAUACCAUUGUCAUCUUCCUGAUUUUAAACUCAUUUUCUAUUUUCCACCAUUCAUUUAUUGUUUACUUUUGCAUUUUUUUAUACAAUGUUUAUCAUAUUUUCAAAGAUUUUUCUCAGUAAUACCUCUUUAUGGCUUUUUCUUUAUCUACUGAGAUUAUCCUAUUUUUUCAAUAAUGCAUUAAAUGCUUUGAACACUGCCUCAUUCAUUCUAGGUGCCUAGUAAUUAUUAGUAUGAGUGAAUGAGUAAUAAGCCUAUUUUAAAAGUGAAUUGUAUUUAUUGAUUUUUCUAAUGUAAAACCAACUUUGCAUUUCUGGAUAAAUUUAAAUGCGAUAUGAUGGUUUCUUUUUAAAAAAUACCCAGUUCCGGCCAGGCAUGGUGGCUCACACCUGUAAUCCCAGCACUCUGGGAGGCUGAGGUGGGCAGAUCACGAGGUCAAGAGAUCCAGACCAUCCUGGACAACAUGGUGAAACCCCAUCUCUAACUAGCUGGGUGUGGUGGCCCUUGCCUGUAGUCCCAGCUACUCCGGAGGCUGAGGCAGGAGAAUCACUUGAACCCAGGAGGCGAAGGUUUGCAAUGAGCUGAGAUUGCGCCACUGCACUCCAGCCUGGCAACAGAGCGAGACUGCAUCUCAAAAAAAAAAACGAAAAAAAAAAAAAACCCAGUUUCCUUCUAUUUCAUAAAUUAUUUUUGAAGGUUUUCAGGCUUCAUUCUGUCCUUGUCUGAGUUUGUUAUCCUGCCCUCAUAUACUGCCAGAAUGUUUUUGUUUUUUGUUUUUUUGAAAUGGAGUUUCGCUCUUGUUGCCCAGGCUGGAGUGCAACGGUCCAAUCUCGGCUCACUGCAACCUCUGCCUCCCGGGUUCAAGCGAUUCUCCUGCCUCAGCCUCCCAAGUAGGUGGGGUUACAGGCAUGUACCACCAUGCCCAGCUAAUUUUGUAUUUUUGGUAGAGAUGGGGUUUCUCCAUGUUGGCCAGGCUGGUCUCGAACUCCCAACCUCAGGUGAUCCGCCCGCCUUGGCCUCCCAAAGUGCUGGAAUUACAGGCGUGAGCCACCGCGUCUGGCCGAGAACGUGUUAUUUUUCUAAAUUCUCCAAGUGUUGUCAUAUUGCGUCAAUAUGGUGCCUCCAGAAACCAAAAAAACCGACCAAGCAUUGUGCUGUUUGUGAUUAGUAGUACAAAUUGCAGCAAUUCUCCUUUCACCUUAGAGGGAAUAUCUUGACAAGCGCCAGACAACUGAACCCCUAGAAACUUCAGGUGGUUAGCCUGAAUGUUUGGGUGUAUUCCCCAACAAACAUUCACGUCUGUCUUACGAAAGAACUCAUAAAGGCAUCAAUAGAGAGGACAAGUUGUGGGAUGUAAAGAUGACCAUACCUGCUGGAUGUUAUUGCAAGCAACAGUAUAACUGAUGUAACGCUGAGAAAAAGUAAGUUGCUCCUGGUUGUCCUUACAGGUUGAGAAAAUGGUAUUUCUAGGUCAGUAGCUCACAUUUGUAGUAAAUUAAUGAACAUUAGUUAUUAGGGGAAAAGUAUGGGCACUAAUAGCACAAUUUGCCAGAAACAUAAAAUGAGUAAACUUAAAUGUACCCAAUUACAGUGCCCCCCAAAAAAGGAGAGUUUUUUUUUUUUUUUUUUCCCUGAGACACGGUCUUGCUGUGGCCCGGGCAGGAAUGCAGUGGCAUGACCUCGGCUCACUGCUACCUCUGCCUCCUGGGCUCAGGUGAUCCUCUCACCUCAGCCUACUGAGUAGCUGGGACUUACAGGUACACAAUACCAUACCUGGCUAACUUUUUUUUGUUUUGUUUUUUGUAGAGAUGGAGUUUCGGCUCAUUGGCUGGGCUUGGUCUUGAACUGGUAAGCUCAAGUGAUCUGCCCGCCUUGGGCUCCCAGACAUGCACCACUGCACCUGGCCUAGAGAGAGAGAUUUUUAAAGAAAACAAUUUGGCUGGGGGCGGUGACUCACACUUGUAAUCCUAGCACUCUGGGAGGCCAACACAGGCAGAUCACUUGAGAUCAGGAGUUCAAAACCAGCCUGGCCAACAUGGCGAAACCCCACCUCUACUAAAAAUACAAAAAAGUAGCUAGGCGUGGUGGCAUUUGCCUGUAAUCCCAGCUACUUGGGAGGAUGAGACACGAGAAUCACUUGAACUCAGAAGGCGGAGGUUGCACUGAGCUGAGAUCACACCACUGCACUCCAGCCUGGGCAACACAGCAAGACCUAAUUAUUCCUUUUUUGGUAGAGAUGGGGUCUCACUGUGUUGCCUCAGCUGAUUUCAAGCUCCUAGACUUAAGUGAUCCUUCUGCCUCAGAAAACACAAUUUUUCAACCAUACUUGAACGAUUCCUAAAACUUGACCAUUUAUUAGAUGUAACAGUUGGGACUGAAAUCAGCUGAAAGAGGAACUUCCCACAAGAGUGGUUUAAACCACAUGGCAGUUAAUUUUUCUCAUGUAACAUGAAAUCCAGAGAUAAGCAGCACAGGAUUAGUGCAACCAGAUAAUAUUGUAUCUCCCCUGUUGUUUCAUUUAGUAUCCUUUCUCUGUCCUCCUCUUGGUGUAUAUAUUUUCUAGGAAAUAAGGGACAAGACAAAGGGCAAAUAGUUAAGAAAAAAACACCAGAUGAGAUAUUCCCAUUUCCAUGAGCUUCCUUAGCAGCUGUAUCCAGUGACUUCUGCCUACUUUGCAUGGGCUAGGGAUGUGAACAUAUUUGGCCGCUCACAGCUGUAAGGGAAGCUGGGUGAAAACUGUCCACAUUGCCAGCUUGAACUAAAUGGUAAAUUUUAUUACUUUAAGAAAGAAGGGAGGAAUGGAUAUUGAGACAGCAACUAGUUCUGUCUGCCACAGUACAUCAGUCAGUGUCCAGCAAUUAUGUUCAAAUCUAUGUCACACAGAAUCUACAUAUUGAAGACCAUGUGUUCUGUUCACAAUGCAAUUAAACUGAAAAGAUAACUAAAAUAUUCAUAGGAUCUACAGUUGUGACACAUAUAAGAAUGAAAUACUCACUGAUAAAAACAAUCAUAGCUAUAACAUUUAUAAGGUUUGUCCCAGUAUAACAGGCAUCCAGAGUUGGGCCAGAAGGCUGUUUCCAGGUGACCAUAACAGGGCUUCUCUCCAAUAUAUGUUCUAAAGUGAGAAAGGAGGCAUGAGGGGCAACAAACACUUCCCUGAGUCAUUUCAUUCAUGGAGUUUCUGGCCAUUGUGGAUUCGCUUGUGCAUUAUAAGGUUAGUGCUUGUGCUAAAGGCUUUUUCACACUGAAUACAUUUAUAAGGCUUCUCUCCAGUGUGAGUUCUCACGUGUACCCUCAGGCAAGAGGAAUUCCUAAAGGCCUUCCCACAUUCUUUACACUCAUAGGUUUUCUCACCAGUGUGAGUUCUCUUGUGCACAAUAAGGUAAGAGCCUGUGCUGAAGGACUUUCCACACUGGUUACACUCAUAAGGCUUCUCUCCAGUGUGAGAGCGUGUGUGUUUCUUAAGGGAUGACUGAUCGAUGAAGGCUUUUCCACAGUCACUGCAUUCAUAGGGUUUCUCUCCAGUGUGGGUUCUCACAUGUUUCUGAAGGGAUGAAGGAACAGUGAAAGCCUUCCCACAUUCCUUACAGUCAUAGGGUUUCUCUCCAGUGUGAGUUCUUUUGUGCACAUUCAGAUGAGAGCUCUGGCUAAAGGAUUUUCCACAGUGAUCACACUCAUAAGGCUUCUCUCCAGUAUGAGAUCUCAUGUGUUUCUUAAGGGAAGACUGAAAAAUGAAGGCUUUCCCACAGUCACUGCAUUCAUAGGGCAUCUCUCCAGAGUGAGUUCUGACACAGUUCUGAAGGGACAAAGGGUCAGUGAAAGUUUUCUCAUGUUCAUUACAUUCCAAACCCUCCUCCACACUACCAGUUUUUGUGUGGACACUAAGGGGAGAUAUUUUGCCAUAGUCACUGCAUUCAUCACCUUUCUCUCCAGUAGGUAUUUGCUCACGUACUGAGCAGGAAGAGUGUAGGCUGAAGGACAUAUCACAUUGCUCAUACUCCUGAAACUUCUGUCCUGUGGGAGUUCUUAAGUGUUUCCUGAGGGAUGACUCUUGAUUGAAAGCUUUUCUACAAUCAGUAAAUUCAAGAGUUUUCUCUCCAAUGUGAAUGCUCACAUGACUCCUAAGAGUUGAGGGAUGGUUGAAGACUUUGCUAUACUUUAUAUAUUUAUAGCAUUUCUCUCCCUUGCAAUAUCUUGUACAAAUAAAGCGAGUGUUCUUUCUGAAUUUCCCACAAUGGUUACACUCCAGGGAGUGCUCACCAGGUUGAUUUUCUGCCUGUUGAAAAGGGAGUAAGUGGUGACUAGAGGCUUUUUCACUUUCACCUUAUUCACAGGAAUUCUCUUCCAUGAGGAUUCUGCCAUAUAUAGGAAGCACAUGAUCAUGACUGACAUGUGUACCAUUUUCAGUAGGUGCGUAUGACUUUUGCCCUAUUAGCUUUUUCGAGUUGAAUAAGCUCACUCCUCUGUCCAAGGCUCUAUUCCUUCCCAGCAAAGGGCUUCUUUAAUACAGUUUUUCUAAUACUGAGUGAAGAAUGAAUGAAUUAUGUACUAAAUACUUAACUCUAAAAUCAUAUUUACAUAGAUGUUUACUUGUGGUUAUUCUCUGUGAGCCAGCAAGUGUUAACCUAGGUUUACAGAUUUCUCCAAUUUCAUGAAAAUCAAACUCCAAACUCUCCCGAGACAGCUUUCUGGUGAAAGCCUGGUGCCUGAAUUCUUACCCCUGCUUUGGGUGCUGAUGUUUUAACUCAUUCAGAUUCCCAGACUUCUACUACAAAGACCAGGAAUACUUCCUAGUAAGUCUUACCGUGUUUAUGCCAUUGGAUGUUUUUCCCCCAGGAAUGUUCUGCAUAGCAAUUGUAUCUUUUGGUUUAAGUUGAGUUUCCCAGUCUGAAAUAGCACAGGAAUUUUUAUAAUUAUUGGGAGAAAAGGUUGGGAUCAAAGAAAAAGGGAGGGAGACCCUAUGGAUUUGUUUUCAAAUAAUAUCUUCUAAGUAGAGAAAUGUAAGAAAGAAGACACAACCAGUGAUUCACCAGUGAUAGGAACAAGCAGUAGAAAUGGGAGGUAUUUUAGUUAGAAAGGAUUGUGGAGGUUGGGAAAUAAGACAGUAUUAUCUGGCAAAAAGCAUUCAUGGAGACAUUACAUUUAAAGAGGAAUUAAAACUUCUUUCUCGGAGACCAAAUGAACGUAUGAACGAUUGAAUAGAUGGUGAAACAGGAAGGAAGCUCAUGUCAUGGCCUCAGAUUUCUUUUCCUUCACUGAGUGACAUUCCCAAAUGUACUAACCCUCACUGGCCAAGGCUGCACCCUGUUCUGCCCAAGGCUCACCUGCACAGUCACCUUGUAAAAUUCCUCUUUCAUCUGUCUUCAGCUGUUCUUGAUCCACCUUGGAGAUCAGACUGUGUCUGCAGAGCUGAUACCCUGCUCACGCAGAAAGCAAGGAUGUGGGAGAAAUGUGUGAGAAUUAAAUAUUCCACAAAACUGAUUGCCAUACUUUGGCUUUAACUAAAGGAUUAUUAAAAUAGUCAAGUGCAGCUUUAGGAACAACAAAACAAUCAGAGCCGAGCUCUUUCUUUCACAAGAACCAAAAAGCAUGGUCCACGCCCUAUAUGGAAGUGACCCUUGAAACCUAUACACAAGAUGAGACACAGAUUGCAAAUUACCUUAAGCUAUUAGUGAUAGAGAAAAUGAAAUCAGUGCAUUUUCAUGGGAAGCCACUGGACUGCCCCCUCAAGGGCAGGGACCAUUCAUUUUGGGGUUAACCACUGUAUUGCUAUUCUUUCCACAGAUUCUGGAACAUAAUAUGUGCUUAAGAACUAUUUGCUACAUAAACAAAUGAAGAAAUGAGGCCAGCCUUACCUACUGAGGCCAGGUUCCUAAAGUUCUCCAGCAUCACAUCUUUGUAUAGAUUUUUUUGAGCAGGGUCCAGCAAUGCCCACUCCUCCUGGGAAAAGUCCACUGCCACUUCCUGGAAGGUUACUGAGUUCUAAAACAUCACAUACAUAUUCUGGCUCAGCCAAUGACCAUUUUUGACAAUGUACCAGGAGAAUGGUGGGUGAGGCUGACAGGACUGGAGAGGAGACUCAGGGCACUGGAAGCUCAGACAUGCAUCAGAGGCCUUCUCUUAAUUUGCCUUAAAGCUGAGUUCUCAGAACUCUCUUUAAAUCCUACUCCCUGGGCCAUCUCAUUCAGGGUCAUGGUCAAAACAGCUUUUCUAAAAUAUGGUUGGCUUGAUCUUUGCACAGUUAGGUUGUGAGGACUCUUUUCGUCUUAUUCAGAUCCAGUAUAGACAGGGCAUACUGUAGGAAUGCAAGAAAUACUUGAGAAAUGAUAAAUAAUUUUCCUAGUAAAAGUCUUUCUUUACAGCACUCACUACAGUAUGGAAUUCAUACUCAAAAAUAUGGAAGAAUAUCUGGAGAAAGUUAACAAAUGUGGGAACAGAAGCCUUUCCCAGGGAUUCCCUCUUCCACAUGAAGCAGCCUGGGAGCUGCGGAAGAUGAAGCCAGCUCAGAUUGGGCUGUGAAGCUUCAGGUCAGGGGCAAGAGAUGUGUUCUUUUCAGGAAUGGCAGUGUGCUUUUGGAAAUAGAGAAAUUUCUUGUGUACCUGUGACCAGGUUGUCAGCCACCCUGCAGCCAUUCUUCCUCCUGUAGGUUUCCUUCCUGGCUGGGCAGAGUCCUAAGCAGGCAGAGCUAGAGGAGAACACAGAAGCCAUUAGAGUCUAGGCCUGCUAGAUGUUCAACACUAGCAGGCUGGGAAGCUUCUUCUUACUAAAGGGUAACAACAUACACAUAGAGUGUAGUUACAAUUUGCCUCCUUAUCCAAGAACACAGUAUAUCCUCAAAUUAGAAAUAUAGUAUGCAUUUUUCAUUUUUUCUUGGACUUUUUUCUAGCCUGAACCACUAAAAAGGCUUAUGACUGCUAACAGCUCAGGAGGAAUGAGCCUCUAAAGUGCAAAACUGUCUCUGAAUAUCAUUUACCCGUGACAGAAACCAGGACUCACUGGAGAAAUAGCUGAGUCUAGUAUAGACUAAGAAAUCUUCAAGAUGAGUUUGGAAUAUCUUAUAUCACACCCUCACGUUCCUCAUUGUUAGAAUGGGACCAAUUUCAUAGGGUUGGGCUGAGUUAAUAUCCCGAAAUUACUUAGAACAAUAAGGAGUAACUCAUAAGGACCAUAAAGGUGAGCAUAUUUGCAUUUCAUAAUAAAAGGGUGACAUUCCAGAACAACAUUUAGUACACUUAGCUGUAUAUGUAUCAAAAUCUAGUGCUGCAAAUCUUAUAGCAGAGCUAGGACUCUGUCUUCUUAACUCAGUAGCCUACCUUCCAGGCCCUUUUUGCCUGCCCGAUUUUACUUUUUAAACUUUUUUGUUGUAAACGAAGACACAUACGCAUUAAUCUAGGCCUAAAUAGGGUUAGGAUCUUGAGUAUCACUGUCUGACACCUUCUACCGUGUCCCACUUAAGGUAUUCAGGGGCAAUAACAUGCACGGAGCUGACAUCUCCUAUGGUGACAAUGACUUCUAGAAUGUCUUCUGAAGCAUCUGCUUGAGGCUUGUUUUUGAGUUAACUUUUCUUUUUUAGUAAGUAGAAGGAAUACAUUCUAAAAUAACAAUAAAUAGUAUAAAAAUAUAUAAACCAGUAAUGUGGUCACUUAUUACUAUUCAUUAUUAUGUACUGUAUAUAAUCUACUGUACAUAACCAUAUUUACUACUGUUACAUGACUGGCAGUGCAGCAGGUUUAAAUGACAGACAUGUGAGUAAUGUGCUUUACAAUGUUACACUGGCUAUGUCAUUAGGUGAUUGGAA
rnacentral:lncRNA from 1 species